UUGCUUGGUCUUAGGAUGAUUAAUUAGAAGGUUCUAGGAUUCUUUUAAUUAUUAAGGGAUCGUUCACACUUCGUUUAUGAUUCAAGAACCAGUCAGUGUUUGCAAACAAAUAAGAAUUUAUUUUACAAACAAUUAAGACUUGACAAAUGGUUUAAACUAUUAUUCUGUGAGUGGAUGGAACUAAAAGAUGGGUGUCUGAAAACUGUGUGUGAAUAUGAGAUGAUGGAUCAGAAUCUCCGUAUUGUCAGAGAGGUGCGUUCUCAAUUUUAACCUUACUCUUGUCUGUGUUGUGUGACGGGGUGAGUACUCCCUCUUCUCCACAACAUCUUUGUAAGACUGUCAUUCCAGGAGAGGGCAUUCACCAGCUGCGGGGCAUUACCGAUCAGCGGCAGCUGCAGAUCCUCUAAUCAACCGCAGCAGAGCUCUAUUUAAGAGGAGAGGGAACCACUUCACAUCGCUGGAUGAUUAACUACUCACGGAUACUUGGAAUCGCUGAACCACAGAUGGAUGUACCUACCUGGAAGUCACCAUAACCCGCCUGGAUUACACACUCAAGGUUCACCUCUCCUCCUUCUUCACUUGCCCUCUGCCGCCAUCAUCUGGCUCCCUCUCCUGGACGCACCCGUCACACCGUCUGCCCUCCCUGCUGGCUUUUGGACUCUUGCCGACUACUUCACACUUGGAAAUCUCCAGGACACUUUUAGUUAGGGUUAAUAAAUCAUUGUUUGAACUUUCUGCCUUUGUCCUGUGAUGGUUCUUCAUGUCCUGGGUUAAACACCUUCCCAGGAACAUGACAGUCUGGUGUGUGAGCAAAUGGUGAUGACCUCAUCUAGUAAACAUACUAAACCAUCAUUCAAUACAGAUUCCUGGACAUUAAAUUGCUCAUAAUAAUAAAAGUUCAUAAUGACUA